GAAAUGCGAUACGUAAUGUGAAUUGCAGAAUUCAGUGAAUCAUCGAAUCUUUGAACGCACCUUGCGCCCCUUGGCAUUCCGAGGGGCACACCCGUUUGAGUGUCGUGAAAUCCUCAAAACCCUUUUUCUUGUUAUCGGAAUCGGGGUUUUGGACUUGGAGGCUCMAUGCUYGCUUUUGCUUUCGAAAGCGAGCUCCUCUUAAAUGAAUUAGUGGGGUCCGCUUUGUCGAUCCUUGACGUGAUAAGAUGUUUCUACGUUUUGGAUUUGGCACCGUUUUCUCCGCUCCUAACCGUCCGUCCCAUGGACAACGAUGGUGCUUCGGUCCCUGCCGUCUACUUUGGCGGGAGGCUGGGCCCACAAAAACGACCUUGACCUCAAAUCGGGUGAGACUACCCGCUGAACUUAA
rnacentral:rRNA from 1 species